GGAUAGCUCAGUCGGUAGAGCAUGAGACUCUUAAUCUCAAGGUUGGGGUUCGAGCCUCACCUUGGGCA
rnacentral:tRNA from 1 species